AAGAGAAAAGACAAAAAGAAUAAAUGGAAAAGAGAAGGAAAGGAAUCUUCUGAGACAUCCAUCAUCCUAUCUGGUCCACAGUCAUUGAUCCACACCAUUUGCCACUGAGAUGUCAUCAUUUCUGAUUGCCUAUUUCUUCAGAAUAAAAGAUAACAUCAAGAAAGAGAAAAAGAAGGAAAAGAGGGGAAACGAUUACAUAUGUCACCGUUUUAAGAGGGGCUGAAACCAGGUGAACCUUUUGAUUUCCAAACUUCAGACUUUGGUGUAAGCUAAUCAAAUGAGGAUGCAAAUUCCAGCACUGUGAAACCAACAGAAACAUCAAAGAACUCAAAGAAACAAACAUCUCUUGCACUAAGUCUAGACUCUCAAAACCAAUCCAUGUCCUCUGUAACCACACAAUAAAGAGUUUGGAAAUCAUAUUUUAUGUUUUGAAGGCCCAUAUGCAAUACUUGGGAGCCUGAAGUCCAAACCAGUUGUGGCAGUUUCAGAGUGCUUAUUCCAUAUUCAAAUGCUUUAUAAAGAAGGAAGAGACCCACCCACAAAAAUGGGGUCCUAAUUAGAAUAAGGUAUAUCCUAUGUUUGUAUAAUUUUAUCA